AUGGGUACUUUUUGUUGGGCUUGU
rnacentral:siRNA from 1 species